ACAGGAACAAUCGUGACUUUGACUCCACACAACACAACAUCCACAGAUGUUUCAAUCGUGGCUUUGACUCCACACAACACAACAUCCACAGAUGUUUCAAUCGUGACUUUGACUCCACACAACACAACAUCCACAGAUGUUUCAAUCGUGGCUUUGACUCCACACAACACAACAUCCACAGAUGUUUCAAUCGUGACUUUGACUCCACACAACACAACAUCCACAGAUGUUUCAAUCGUGGCUUUGACUCCACACAACACAACAUCCACAGAUGUUUCAAUCGUGGCUUUGACUCCACACAACACAACAUCCACAGAUGUUUCAAUCGUGACUUUGACUCCACACAACACAACAUCCACAGAUGUUUCAAUCGUGGCUUUGACUCCACACAACACAACAUCCACAGAUGUUUCAAAUAUGUCUGACAACACAUAUCUUGUGUUUCAGAUGUUUUAUAAACAGUUCAUACUUUAUUAAAACAUUUCAUUUUGAGCUUGAACUUGAUUGUGUAUUUAUUCUUCACCUUAAACUGAUGAAUAGUUAGCCUGGUACCUUAAACUGAUGAAUAGUUAGCCUGGUCCCUUAAACUGAUGAAUAGUUAGCCUGGUACCUUAAACUGAUGAAUAGUUAGCCUGGUACCUUAAACGGAUGAAUAGUUAGCCUGGUCCCUUGAACUGAUGAAUAGUUAGCCUGGUACCUUAAACUGAUGAAUAGUUAGCCUGGUACCUUAAACUGAUGAAUAGUUAGCCUGGUACCUUAAACUGAUGAAUAGUUAGCCUGGUACCUUAAACUGAUGAAUAGUUAGCCUGGUACCUUAAACUGAUGAAUAGUUAGCCUGGUACCUUAAACUGAUGAAUAGUUAGCCUGGUACCUUAAACUGAUGAAUAGUUAGCCUGGUCCCUUAAACUGAUGAAUAGUUAGCCUGGUACCUUAAACUGAUGAAUAGUUAGCCUGGUACCUUAAACUGAUGAAUAGUUAGCCUGGUACCUUAAACUGAUGAAUAGUUAGCCUGGUCCCUUAAACUGAUGAAUAGUUAGCCUGGUACCUUAAACUGAUGAAUAGUUAGCCUGGUACCUUAAACUGAUGAAUAGUUAGCCUGGUACCUUAAACUGAUGAAUAGUUAAUCUAGUCCCUUAAACUGAUGAAUAGUUAGCCUGGUACCUUCAACUGAUGAAUAGUUAGCCUGGUCCCUGUUGAAGGAAUUCUAAAUUCCUCUGUUUUAUUUCCCAAUCAGAAUUAAACACUCUGUCAAUGCAUUUAAGGGUUUGUAAGACCCUAUAUAUUUUAUAAGAAUGGACAGAGCCCCGGUCUUAAAAGUCAGGUAACAGCGUUUAAUUCAAGAGAGUACUGGUAUAUACACAUUUUUCCACAGGUUAUAAACUGAAAAUGACGUCAACGUUUUCUAAAUGUUCUCUUCAUGACACCGGUAGAGAGGCCCUAUAGUUUUUGAGCCUUCCCUCCUCUCCUAAAGCCAAGGUCAGUCAGUGUAGAUUAGCAUUCUAGACAGUCUGGAGAUAGUCCGUCCCUGCCAUCUGGAGAUAGUUCAUUCAUUUGUACCAAGGCACUGUUCUAAACUCCUGACUAUAUUAUAUACAAUUGGGAAUGGGAGCAAGAGAGAAAAUUCAUACAUGUACAGUACAUAAUAGCAUUUGGACAAGUCAGUCCUGAUUGAAAUGUAUACAUAAUUAGUCAUCAUUGAUAAACGGUAGUGUAGUAAACAGAGUGUACAGAGUGUACGGUAGUGUAGUAAACAGAGUGAGUACGGUAGUGUAGUAAACAGAGUGAGUACGGUAGUGUAGUAAACAGAGUGAGUACGGUAGUGUAGUAAACAGAGUGAGUACGGUAGUGUAGUAAACAGGGAGUACGGUAGUGUAGUAAACAGAGUGAGUACGGUAGUGUAGUAAACAGGGUGAGUACGGUAGUGUAUUAGACAGAGUGAGUACAGUAGUGUAUUAAACAGAGUGAGUACGGUAGUGUAGUAAACAGAGUGAGUACGGUAGUGUAGUAAACAGAGUGAGUACGGUAGUGUAUUAUUAGACAGAGUGAGUACAGUAGUGUAGUAAACAGAGUGAGUACAGUAGUGUAGUAAACAGAGUGAGUACGGUAGUGUAUUAUUAGACAGAGUGAGUACGGUAGUGUAUUAUUAGACAGAGUGAGUACAGUAGUGUAGUAAACAGAGUGAGUACGGUAGUGUAUUAUUAGACAGAGUGAGUACAGUAGUGUAGUAAACAGAGUGCAGCCAAUAGCAGCCAACGGGUUUCUCCACACAUCGCGCUGACAGAAACAAACAUCUUUCUGGGAAGAAGA
rnacentral:lncRNA from 1 species